UACAGAGACUGCAAGCGUUAUUCGGAAUCACUGGGCUUACAGGGUGCGUAGGCGGCUUGUCAAGUAGGGUGUGAAAGCCCCCGGCUCAACCGGGGAAUUGCGCCCUAAACUGGCGAGCUGGAGUGAGAUAGGGGUGUGCGGAACUUCCGGUGGAGCGGUGAAAUGUGUUGAUAUCGGAAGGAACGCCGGUGGCGAAAGCGGCACACUGGAUCUCAACUGACGCUGAGGCACGAAAGCGUGGGGAGCAAACAGG
rnacentral:rRNA from 1 species